rnacentral:rRNA from 1 species
CAGCCGCCACGGUAAUACAGAGGGUGCGAGCGUUAAUCGGAUUUACUGGGCGUAAAGCGUGCGUAGGCGUCUUUUUAAGUCGGAUGUGAAAUCCCUGAGCUUAACUUAGGAAUUGCAUUCGAUACUGGGAAGCUAGAGUAUGGGAGAGGAUGGUAGAAUUCCAGGUGUAGCGGUGAAAUGCGUAGAGAUCUGAGGAAUACCGAUGGCGAAGGCAGCCAUCUGGCCUAAUACUGACGCUGAGGUACGAAAGCAUGGGGAGCAAACAGGAUUAGAUACCCGCGUAGUCCCUGUCUCUUAUACC